rnacentral:rRNA from 1 species
AACGAACGCUGGCGGCAGGCCUAACACAUGCAAGUCGAACGGAUGUAGCAAUACAUUAGUGGCGCACGGGAGAGUAACGCGUGGGAACCUACCUUUUGGUUUGGAAUAACGUCGGGAAACUGACGCUAAUACCAAAUAAGCCCCUUCGGGGGAAAGAUUUAUCGCCAAUAGAUGGGCCCGCGUUAGAUUAGCUAGUUGGUGAGGUAAUGGCCCACCAAGGCUACGAUCUAUAGCUGGUCUGAGAGGAUGACCAGCCUCACUGGGACUGAGACACGGCCCAGACUCCUACGGGAGGCUG